CUUGGCAGAGUUUCUGCCUUGUGUGGUAGAUACUAAGGAUGGGCAAUGUUACCCAUGUAUCUACUAGCCACAGUAUAGUAUAAGAAGUUUCCACACAAGCAGCUUUAACAUCAGCAUAGCAAGGAAGAAGAACUUUUUGCGAAGUUCUAUACCUUGUGUUAUACAGAUACAUGAUGAUCACAGUCAUCCCUUCUGGCCUUGGAAUCUAUGAAAUAGCUCCAGAGCACCCAUGGAAUUGGCGUCUAUGAUGACAAUAAUCUCAACUCAGCAUCUCUGAGCCAAGAAGGACCUUCCUCACUGCAGCUCUGAAACCCUGGAUAGCUUCAAACACCUGUUUAUUUUUUAUCACCUUCCCUGAUCCUAAAUAUGGAAUAUUCCGCAGAGAGCUGUGGCUGAAGCUGAGAAAUACUCAGAUCUGGGUUGUUGAUAGUGGAUUCUAAAAUUCAAUAGUUAAAAUUCUCAUCUCUGUAUGAGGCCAGUUCAGAUGGACUUAUGGCAUUAAGGCAGAAAGAUUUGAAAAAUGGUCCCAAUAGUAUUUCGAGAAAUGAUCUGAAACAUUUCUGAAAUACUUCUGAACUUUAUGUGGACUAUACAGAAAACAAUGACAUGGAUGGGUCUCUGGGUUUUGUUUGUACUAUUUGGGAAGACUUGUACAAGGGACUCAUGGUUUCAUCACUUGUGUGAAAUGCAGCCAUUCUAAA